AUUGAACGCUGGCGGCAGGCCUAACACAUGCAAGUCGAGCGAGCGGCGGACGGGUGAGUAAUGCCUAGGAAUCUGCCUGGUAGUGGGGGAUAACGUCCGGAAACGGGCGCUAAUACCGCAUACCAUCGGAUGUGCCCAGAUGGGAUUAGCUAGUAGGUGGGGUAAAGGGUCACCUAGGCGACGAUCCAUAGCUGGGCUGAGAGGAUGACCAGCCAAACGGGAACGGAUACACGGUCAAGACUCCUACGGGAGGCAGCAGUGGGGAAUAUUGCACAAUGGACGCAAGCCUGAUGCAGCAAUGCCGCGUGUAUGAAGAAGGCCUUCGGGUUGUAAAGUACUUUCAGCGGGGAGGCGUUACCCGCAGAAGAAGCACCGGCUAACUCCGUGCCAGCCGCCGCGGUAAUAC
rnacentral:rRNA from 1 species